GACAGAGGUGCCAAGCGUUAGGCGGAAUCACUGGGCUUAAAGCGUGUGUAGGCGGAUGCCUAAGUACCUUGUGAAAUCCCACGGCUUACCCGUGGAACUGCUCGGUAUACUGGUUGUCUUGAGCCAUCUAGGGGCUACCGGAACAAAUGGUGGAGCGGUGAAAUGCGUAGAUAUCAUUUGGAACGCCAAUGGUGAAAACAGGUAGCUGGGGAUGUGCUGACGCUGAGACACGAAAGCCAGGGGAGCGAACGGG
rnacentral:rRNA from 1 species